rnacentral:rRNA from 1 species
UACGUAGGGUGCGAGCGUUAAUCGGAAUUACUGGGCGUAAAGCGUGCGCAGGCGGUUCGCUGUGUCCUGUGUGAAAGCCCCGGGCUUAACCUGGGAAUGGCAUGGGAAACUGGCGAGCUUGAGUGCGGCAGAGGGGGGUGGAAUUCCGCGUGUAGCAGUGAAAUUCGUAGAUAUUCGCAAGAACACCAGUGGCGAAGGCGGCUCACUGGCCCGGUACUGACGCUGAGGUGCGAAAGCGUGGGGAGCAAACAGG